UUUGCUUUUGUUUCUGCAGGAGCGCCUCUCCCAAGCAGUGGGGGCCUGAGGGCUUGAGGGAGGCUGGGGAAACCAGCAGGGAGCACUUGGCUCCUGCCAGAGGGAGAGGACAGGAGGAGGAGCCUUCCCCAGGAGGAGCGAGGAGAGGUGGCUGCGUGGCAGGCCACAGUGCCCUAUGGGCGUUUCUGUUUGAACCCCAUGUGGGAUGAAUCUCAAAGCCACCAGCGUUCUGGCCUAGUGUCCAGAGCAGCAGAGAUUUGCAGCCCUCGCCCCUCCCUGAGAAGAAGCUGGAUUUGAAAACCCCUGACAGGCCCUAACAUGUUUCCUGGGUGGGCAGAGGCCUCAUGACCAAGCAGCAAGUGUACCCAGAGUAGAAGCCCUUCCCCACUCCCACCUCAAGCCCAGGAGCAGAACUCAGUGUCCAGAGCUUGCAAGGGUUUGCCGAGGGCUGCCUAGCCCUGUUUCUGGUUUCCUGGACAAUUUCUCUGUCAGAUACGGCCCAUUGUAAACCCAGAGGGCUGCAUUUUGGGUUGAGUAAUACGGACACCGGGGAAGUAGAGAAUGAGUCCAGCAUUGCCGUGGGGGAGGGAAGAGUAUGUCCUGGCAGGAAGCCACCAUUGGAGAAGGUGAGGCCAGUAACCGUCUCAUGGGAUUUGCAAUCAUCAGCCUAUUUGAGCUGCUGGGUCUCUGUUACUGUGGACUCCAGUCAUUCAAGGAGUUCUCCACUGUUGGGUUUUUUUCUUUUCUUUUCUUUUGCUAUUUUGCCUGAACACCCCAACACUCUUGGUUUUAGAGUCCAAGAGUAAGUUGCGCAGAGACAUGGUUCUAAUUUGGAGUUCAAAGGAACACCAGCUCUGAAAAGGUGACCAUGGGGCCAGGAUGUUUCUGGCAGGCUCAGAAGUGCUGGCUGCUCUUCCCCAGCCUCCCCACUGCUCCCUCCUCUGUUCCCCAUGUGGAGGUGGGGGGUGCUGGGACUGGGGAGGGGGCAGUCACCUCCAUCCAAGGCUCUUCCUAGGGGCCCUGCUAUUGUGGACAGCAGACUUUAUCCCUCCUUCUUACUCUGGGCCAAGACCUCCCACUCCACACUCUGAGGAUGGUACCAAGAAUGGGCCUUUGGGACUUCUCAGGACAUUGACAAUGUGCACACUGCAAGUUGACUUAAUUUAUUUAUUUUGUGAAAAGAAGAGACAGAAAAUACCUUAUUAUCUGCAGGGACUCAAAGCUGUACCCAGAUCAAGAAAGAAAAUAACAAUAGAAACCAUUCACACACUCUGUUCAUGCACGGACACCAGAAGAUGAUUCAGAACACCAGAGGAGAAUAAGCCGGAGCGCCAGCACCACGAUGGCCCUGGGACGUUGUUUAAGAUCUGAGAUCCCUUGGUUUCUCUCAUGUUUAUCUGAGAUGCCACAUCAGGGCCCUUGCUGCUAUAUUACCUCUGCCCGGGUGUUUGAGACCGGUCACAAGUGCCUGGGUGUUUCCUGGAAAUGUAUUCCCCUGGGACUCAGUGAUGCUCUGGGAACCGUUGGGGUUUGGGGAAGGACAAUGUGGUGUGACUAUUGGCUUGACACUUUGUGGAUGUGGUUGGAGUCACCCACGUGGACACGAUUUUCACCUUGGAGCUGGGAUGGAGAAGAUGGAAGCGCUGGGGGCCGGGCCUCCUUUUCCAGCAAGGCUGGCCCUGGUUUCUCCUCUGUUCCAGCUUGUCUGCCAGAAGCCUUCCCCUGUAAAGUGCCCACCUGCCUGGAGACAGGGGGAGCAGCUGAGGCCUCUCUCUACUGGCCGCCAGCCUCCCCAGCACAAGAGGACUAUUCAGCAAUGAGUGUUGAUACUCAUGUUCUUUCUUAUUGAUGAGUUCUGCAGCCCAGCCUAUAGAAAUGGCUCAGAACAUUCCAGGCCUUGGUGAGACAGGGCAGCAUCCAGCGCUCACAGGCUGUCCCCGCUCUGCCUGUUCCCAUCUUCCCCUUGGGGCCUGUUCAUAAAUUGAGGAAUGGAUAAGGGCCCUGGAGGGUCCUUGGGAGUAAUUAGUGGAGGGCAGGAUUCCCAGGUCCCCAUAGAGAGGGAAGGAGAAGCCCACAUGUGCACAGAAGCCCGUCUCUGUCACACACACACCGCAGGUGGUCACCGAUUUAUUUUCCAAAAGCUUAGAAACAUAAAGCAAAUUUAGGCUUUUGUCCCUCUGCGAUACAUGCACUUGAAAAUAAACAGAAAAAAGAUGUUUAAUAACAAGUUUACUUCCUGUCUGCUAGCACCCUCAGCCUGGGAGGUACUGCCAGAGGCUGGCGUAGGGGAGCAGCUGCUGACCAAACCCCACAGAACGGAGGCACCAGGCAUCACACGACAUCUUUCCCUCCCAUCUCGGUCAUCUGUCUGUCUGGCAAUGGAAGGAGCUCCAGCAGGAGGUCCUUCCCAGAAGGUUGAUUCUUGGCCUGGGUGGUAGAGGAGAUAUCCUGACCCUAAAGUCUUCCAGCCCCAGGUCGUCCUCUCCUAUGCUGGGGUCUAUUGACCGUAUAGGCCAGGUGCGGUGGCUCAGGCCUGUAAUCCCAACAUUUGGGGAGGCCAAGGUGGGAGGAUUACUUGAGCCCAGGAGUUGGAGACCAGCCUGGGCAACAUGGUGAGACCAAUUGACUGUAGGGCUUGUCACUUGCUAGAAUAGGAGCAGAAGACUGAAUAGCUGUGUCCUCAAGGCAGUCCCCUCCCACCCCCAUUCCCAAAGUUAAAGCGAAGCCAGAUCUCAAGGGCUGAUACCUGAGGCAAGGAGAGCUAAGGGGAGAGAAAGCGGGGUGGGGUGGGAGCAGACACCUUCACAAACCAAGUGUGUCUUACUGAUCUGUACAAGCUGAUAGAAGGACCAUCUGCUGAAAUCCAGGGCUCCUGAGUUGGUGGGUUUGCUUGUGAAGCUUCUAGGACAAGGCACAGCCAGAUGGAAGGGAGAGGAUCCAGGACUUCCUAAAUGCAGCCGCAUCACCUCAACUCGCUGCAGUUUCAGAGACAGUGGAAGCUGCUCUUUACCUCAAAAGCACAAAGCAGAAUUGGCAACUUCACAUGUCUCAAGAGCUUCAAGAUCCUUUGGUCUCAUGUCCUUUGGCACCCCACAACUGUAUGGGGGACAAAUUUGUUACAUGUUUCCAAGGCUACAGACAUGGUGCCAUCCUUACGGGCCUAGCUCAUGUGAGGUACUUUGUGGAUCAGGUACUUUGCUGGAUCAGGUAAUUUGUGGAUCAGGUACUUUGCUGGGGGGAUACAAUGACCCAGGUGGUCUGCGUCCUCUGCCAUUGGUUUGAACAGGGCACCCCCUGAAGUCUCCAUCUCGGCUGUAUAGUCUAGUCCAAAUUUGCCUGGCUCCCCCGCUCCCUCCCAAGUCCUGCACACUGUCUUUUUGCCAACACCUCAGCCCUGUGUGCUAUUUCAUGUCUGCAUGGUACGAGACACCGCUUCACGGCAUACACUGCCACGGUAUGUACAUAUGCAUCCACGUGUGUGUAUGUGUAGCAUGUAGCUCAUUCUGCUCAGCCUCUGGUGCCGUUCCACAUUGCUCCCAGCCCCACUGCUGUCACUGUCGUCCCAGAUGUCCUUGCCAUGGCCACAGACAAUCUGCCGUCUCCUGGAAACGCUGGGGCUGCCCUUCAGAGAGCUGGCAGCCACUGGCAGUCAGGGCCUGCUUUGCAGAAUAGAAUGUGAACCCAUCUCCUGAUGGCCUACUUGACUUAUUUAAUUAAAGAUGAAAACAUGCAACGAGCAAAA